UGCUCGGCGAGCACUGGCCCCCCGGGCUCCAGUUAUCGUCGCAGGACGUCUCGUGGUUGCUGUAGAAGAGUAGGAGAAGAAGAAGGAGAAGAAGAAGCGUGUGUUUGUGGCGCGGCGUCUCGUCGUGGGGCGCCUCGCCGAUUUCUAC
ensembl:ncRNA C34D10.3 ncRNA